rnacentral:rRNA from 1 species
AUUACCGAGUUUACAACUCCCAAACCCAAUGUGAACGUUACCAAACUGUUGCCUCGGCGGGGUCACGCCCCGGGUGCGUAAAAGCCCCGGAACCAGGCGCCCGCCGGAGGAACCAACCAAACUCUUUCUGUAGUCCCCUCGCGGACGUAUUUCUUACAGCUCUGAGCAAAAAUUCAAAAUGAAUCAAAACUUUCAACAACGGAUCUCUUGGUUCUGGCAUCGAUGAAGAACGCAGCGAAAUGCGAUAAGUAAUGUGAAUUGCAGAAUUCAGUGAAUCAUCGAAUCUUUGAACGCACAUUGCGCCCGCCAGUAUUCUGGCGGGCAUGCCUGUCCGAGCGUCAUUUCAACCCUCGAACCCCUCCGGGGGGUCGGCGUUGGGGAUCGGGACCCCUCACCGGGUGCCGGCCCUGAAAUACAGUGGCGGUCUCGCCGCAGCCUCUCCUGCGCAGUAGUUUGCACAACUCGCACCGGGAGCGCGGCGCGUCCACGUCCGUAAAACACCCAACUUCUGAAAUGUUGACCUCGGAUCAGGUAGGAAUACCCGCUGAACUUAAGCAUAUCAA